rnacentral:rRNA from 1 species
UAGGGAAUCUUCCGCAAUGGACGAAAGUCUGACGGAGCAACGCCGCGUGAGUGAAGAAGGAUUUCGGUUCGUAAAACUCUGUUGUUAGGGAAGAAAAAAUGUAUAGUAACUAUAUACAAAAGAGACGGUACCUAACCAGAAAGCCACGGCUAACUACGUGCCAGCAGCCGCGGUAAUAUGUAGGUGGCAAGCGUUGUCCGGAAUUAUUGGGCGUAAAGCGCGCGCAGGUGGUUUAGAAAGUCUGAUGUGAAAGCCCACGGCUCAACCGUGGAGGGUCAUUGGAAACUAAUAAACUUGAGUGCAGGAGAGAAAAGUGGAAUUCCUAGUGUAGCGGUGAAAUGCGUAGAGAUUAGGAGGAACACCGGUGGCGAAAGCGGCUUUUUGGCCUGCAACUGACACUGAGGCGCGAAAGCGUGGGGAGCAAACAGG